UGGCGAGGGAGGAUUCAGCGGACCUCCGGCGGCGGGGCUGGAAAUGGGGCGGAGGGUCUCGAAGUAGCAGGAGCGGUUUCGGGAGGAGCGAGCCGGCCUGCAGGUCCCGGGAAAGAACCGCAGAGCCUCGUUCGGGGCUCGCCGGGGCGCGGAGAGGGUUGGUGUGAGAGUGCUUGGGCCUGGGCUGCGGCCCCCGGGGAAGCCGAGGCUGGGGUGAGGUCACGCCUUUGGUCUCGCUUACUGACAUUUGCUUUACCCAGGUUCCCUCGUCAGGGCUAGGAGGAGCUCGCGAGUUACCUAGGGGUUCUGUGGGGGCUGCCUGGUGACUGUCGAAGAUGCCGUACCUUGGCUCCGAGGACGUGGUGAAGGAGCUCAAGAAGGCUCUGUGUAACCCUCACGUUCAGGCCGAUAGGCUGCGCUACCGGAAUGUCAUCCAGCGAGUGAUUAGGCACAUGACUCAGGGCUUGGACAUGUCUGGUGUCUUCAUGGAAAUGGUGAAGGCCAGUGCCACCGUAGAUAUUGUUCAGAAGAAGCUGGUUUAUCUUUACAUGUGUACAUAUGCCCCCCUGAAACCAGAUCUGGCUCUCUUGGCCAUUAAUACGCUGUGCAAAGACUGUUCGGAUCCCAAUCCAAUGGUGCGAGGGCUGGCACUACGAAGCAUGUGUAGUCUCAGGAUGCCUGGUGUGCAGGAAUAUAUCCAACAGCCCAUUCUCAGUGGUCUGCGAGAUAAAGCUUCAUAUGUCAGGAGGGUGGCAGUUCUUGGUUGUGCCAAGAUGCAUAAUCUUCAUGGAGACUCUGAAGUGGACGGUGCUCUGGUAAAUGAAUUAUACAGUUUGCUGCGUGACCAGGAUCCAAUUGUGGUUGUGAACUGCCUGAGGUCUCUAGAGGAAAUUCUGAAACAGGAAGGAGGCGUUGUUAUCAACAAGCCCAUCGCCCACCAUCUCUUAAAUCGAAUGCCAAAACUGGACCAGUGGGGCCAGGCUGAAGUAUUGAACUUUCUGCUACGCUAUCAACCCCGCAGUGAGGAGGAGCUGUUUGACAUUCUCAAUCUGCUAGAUAGCUUUCUCAAGAGCAGUAGCCCCGGUGUGGUGAUGGGAGCCACGAAACUCUUUCUCAUCUUGGCAAAAAAAUUCCCCCAUGUACAGACGGAUGUGCUUGUGCAAGUCAAGGGCCCUCUGCUGGCUGCCUGUUCUUCGGAGAGCCGCGAGCUCUGUUUUGCUGCCCUGUGUCAUGUGCGUCAGAUCUUGCACAGUUUGCCCGGGCACUUUAGCAGCCACUACAAAAAGUUUUUUUGCUCCUACUCGGAGCCCCACUACAUCAAGCUGCAGAAGGUGGAGGUGCUGUGUGAGCUGGUGAACGAUGAGAACGUACAGCAGGUGCUAGAGGAGCUCCGAGGGUACUGUACUGACGUGUCAGCCGACUUUGCCCAGGCCGCCAUCUUUGCCAUAGGUGGGAUUGCCAGGACCUACACAGACCAGUGUGUGCAGAUUCUAACAGAGUUGCUGGGGCUUCGGCAAGAGCACAUUACCACAGUGGUGGUGCAAACUUUCCGAGACCUGGUUUGGUUGUGUCCUCAGUGUACGGAAGCUGUGUGUCAGGCCCUGCCUGGCUGCGAGGAGAACAUUCAAGACAGUGAGGGGAAACAGGCACUUAUUUGGCUCCUUGGUGUCCAUGGGGAGAGAAUCCCCAAUGCUCCGUAUGUGUUGGAAGACUUUGUGGAGAACGUGAAGUCAGAGACUUUUCCAGCUGUGAAGAUGGAGCUACUCACUGCACUGCUGCGCCUUUUCCUCUCCCGGCCUGCCGAGUGCCAGGACAUGCUGGGGCGUCUGUUACAUUACUGCAUAGAGGAAGAAAAGGAUAUGGCAGUACGAGACCGGGGCCUCUUCUAUUAUCGCCUUCUCUUAGCUGGCAUUGAUGGAGUGAAGCAGAUCCUGUGUAGUCCUAAAUCUGACCCUUCUCUUGGACUUUUGGAGGAUCAGGCAGAAAGACCUGUGAAUAGCUGGGCCUCAGACUUCAACACACUGGUGCCAGUCUACGGCAAAGCCCGCUGGGCAACCAUCUCUAAAUACCAGGGGCCAGAGCGUCGGGGCCCAGAGCUUCCUAACGCUGCAUCCUUUGCCACUUCAGGUCCCCUGAUUCCUGAAGAGAGCAAGGAGACGGUUCAGGAACUUCCUGAUUCUGGAGCCCUCAUGCUAGUCCCCAAUUGCCAGCUGACUGCUGAGUAUUUUGAGAAAACUUGGUUUAGCCUGAAAGUUGCUCAUCAGCAGGUGUUCCCUUGGCGGGGAGCCGUCCAUCCCGACACCCUCCAGAUGGCCCUACAAGUAGUGAACAUCCAGACCAUCGCAAUGAGCAGGGCUGGGGCUCAGCCAUGGAAAGCCUACCUCAGUGCCCAGGAUGACACUGGCUGCCUGUUCCUUACAGAACUGCUCUUGGAGCCCGAGAACUCCGAAAUGCAGAUCUCUGUGAAACAAAACGAGCCAAGGACUGAGACACUGAAUAGUUUUAUUUCUGUAUUAGAAACUGUGCUUGGAACAAUUGGAGACAUAAAAUCAUAACAGAUUCUUGCUGCUUGUCCUAGGAGCUCUCUCUAGCCUUGGCAGACAUAUGGUUUGACGAUGUGAUGAGAGCCUUGCUCUUUUGACGUGGCCAUCAUUGCUGGUCGCCUUCGGAUGUUGGGUGACCAGUUCAAUGGAGAAUUGGAAGCUUCUGCCAAAAAUGUCAUUGAAGAAACCAGUCGUGGACGGGCAGGAGCUGCACUUCAGGACACAGUCAAAAGUCUUAGGCUUGGUGUGCUCAGGAUUCCAGCUUAGCUUAUGAGAGAGCCUUUCUGGCAGUGUCAGUGAAGCUUCUUGAAUACAUGGCCCACAUCGCUCCCGAAAUGUCAAGACAGGUCGUUGUCUCCAUGACAAGCAUGAUCAAUGGGAACAAUGCCAUCCAAGAGUUUGUCCAGGGCCAGGGAGGCUGGGAAAACCUGGAGAGCUGACUACGAAGCGGUGGCGCUGUUUCCUAGCUUCAACAUCACUGCCACUUUGAUCCAGGGAUUAACUGCUGGCCAUUAAAACAGACAACCAGGGGCACCUGGGUGACU